rnacentral:lncRNA from 1 species
GGGAUAGCAAACAUGGAAUUAUGCUUUCAUAAAACACACAUAUUUUUACAAUAGUGUUUAUGUACAUAAAAGUAACAGGGGUCUAUAUCAAAAAGAAGAGCUACUAGGUUAUCUACACACUGAGCUCCUCAUCCAUGGGAUCAAAUCCCUCCCUACGACCCUGCUAGACUUUUCGAUAGUCUUGGGUGAGCUGUCACCCAUUAUCCAAAUCAGACGAAAGACUCGUCAACAUCUGGAAGGGCUACAGAAAAACUCAUACUUCACUUCCUACCACCCUCUGCAUCAGACUUGACAGUCUUCCAUCUAGGGAGUUGAAAAAUUUAGCCCACAACGGGGUGAGACAACGUCUCAGCGAGUCCAUCCCCUAAAUCCCGAUUAGAAGAAAAGUACACCCACAUGCAUCCUAAGCAUAUUUCCCAUCAUUUACUGAAUAUCAACAUUUCCCUGCAUGUCAGUAUUAAUCAAUUUGUACAUACUGUAUUGAGAUCACAUAUCAUAGGGACAUUUCAACAAGUGUACAUCAUAUCACAAUCACAUGGGCCCCAAAUUAUCAGACUAAAUUAUUAUGAUACGUCCCAUACCGCACCAUAAAAUUCCAUUUCCUAAUUAGGUCCCUCAAUUUCAAUCAUUCAUAAGCAUCAACGGACUUCGACCCAUCAGUCACGGCCAACUCAAUAGUUAGCGAUCUUCCGACCUAGCUAUGCAUCGCCUUGCACCAUCGAGCAUGGCAACGUCUACAUUUAGACGGCAUUCCGGUUAGGAGUAUCGGCCCAGCAUCCACUACGACCAGUAUCCAUUAACUUGGGACAUUCCCGAAGGAGCAUCGUUCAGCCCCAAAGGCUCAUGACGGAAUCUCACAUCAUUUAUGCAUUCAUCCAAUUUCAUAAUUCAUCAAUCAAUUGCAUAAUUCAAUCACAUCAUCAAAUAUGCCAUUCCUAAUAAGCAAACAUAAAAAAUAGUCACAAACUACUACCGGCCCUAACCGGCAGAAAUUGUUCACUUACACGUCUCCAGUUUUAACUCCAGAAACCUAAUCAACUAAUUCAUAAAAUUCUCAAAUUUGAAUAUGUUAUAAAGAACCCAUAAACGAACAUUUUUCAUGAAUACACCAAAUCCUAGAUCCUUCUAGAUUCAGCCCAGUAAAUCGUUCAAUUCAGCACCAAAACUAGGUUCGUUCCCAAAAAAUAUGUUUUCCGAAAUCAAUUUGGUUCGAGAUCCGAAACAUGUCCGUUUGACCUGAAAUUUGAGUAUGUUAAAUUAGAAGAGGUGAUAAAAAAACUUUUGUGAAGCAACCAUUUUUAAAUUCAGACUCCAAGAGUUAAUAAAAAAAAACCCCCUAUAAUCAUAAAAGGUCACCGAUUCUAGUUAAAAUAGAAGUUCUGUUUGAAAACGAUGGAGUUGAUAUCCCCUGCUUCCAGGUCCCUAAAAAUCUUGAGAAAAAUAUAUGUUGUAUCUGAGGAUGUCUAAAACAUUUAUCUAGAAGAUCUCAACCUCAAAUUCGUAACCAUUUCGGUCUAUGAAAAUGGCAAAUAGCAAACGUCCAGGAACCAAUCCUGAAGAACAGCCACUACUUUCAACCAAAUCAUCCUCAAACGUGUUAAUCUCAUGAAUUAGACUAACAUUAAUCCACUCUAAUGCUAAUCUAACCAUUCUAACUUAUAACUAAUCCAUACUUAAGUUAGUCUAAAUCAUCCUUAAACCUAAUCAACCUCCUAAGCAAAUGUAAUUAGCCCCUAAUCAAGAAUUAGGGAAACUAACUCACUUAAUUUGUGGAUUGAAGAACUCCCAGCGAUGGCAGCACGAUGGCGAUGAAAUUACAAGGCUCACAACUCGAACAGCUACGGUUCGUUGAAGUUGAGCUCAAGGCCAAGGGCGCUCAGCUUGAGCGGACGGCGUGCAACGGUGAGGAUGAUGGUGAGCCGAGUGGAUGAUGAAGCUAUAGAAAAUGAAAGAAAAUAAAUGGAGGUGAAAAAAAGGAUGGGGGUGCUACGGUAGAAAUGGAGAAUGCGUGAGGGGGGAGAAGAGAAAGAGAGAAGGGAGAGAAAAAGAAAAGAAGAAGAGAGGGGGUCGUCGAGAGGAGAAAGGGGGGAAAAGGAGAUAGAAAUAAUAAAAUAAUGGAGGGGAAG